GGCAGCAGUAAGGAAUAUUGGUCAAUGGACGCAAGUCUGAACCAGCCAUGCCGCGUGGAGGAUGAAGGUCCUCUGGAUUGUAAACUUCUUUUAUUUGGGAAGAAAUCUAUCUUUUCUUGGAUAGUUGACGGUACCAGAUGAAUAAGCACCGGCUAACUCCGUGCCAGCAGCCGCGGUAAUACGGAGGGUGCAAGCGUUAUCCGGAUUCACUGGGUUUAAAGGGUGCGUAGGUGGGCAGGUAAGUCAGUGGUGAAAUCUCCGGGCUUAACCCGGAAACUGCCAUUGAUACUAUCUGUCUUGAAUACCCUGGAGGUGAGCGGAAUAUGUCAUGUAGCGGUGAAAUGCUUAGAUAUGACAUAGAACACCCAUUGCGAAGGCAGCUCACUACGGGAAUAUUGACACUGAGGCACGAAAGCGUGGGGAUCAAACAGGAUUAGAUACCCUGGUAGUCCACGCCCUAAACGAUGGAUACUCGACAUCAGCGAUAAACUGUUGGUGUCUGAGCAAAAGCAUUAAGUAUCCCACCUGGGAAGUACGAUCGCAAGAUUGAAACUCAAAGGAAUUG
rnacentral:rRNA from 1 species